rnacentral:rRNA from 1 species
GACGAACGCUGGCGGCGUGCCUAAUACAUGCAAGUAGAACGCUGAAGGAGGAGCUUGCUUCUCUGGAUGAGUUGCGAACGGGUGAGUAACGCGUAGGUAACCUGCCUGGUAGCGGGGGAUAACUAUUGGAAACGAUAGCUAAUACCGCAUAAUAGUAGAUGUUGCAUGACAUUUGCUUAAAAGGUGCAAUUGCAUCACUACCAGAUGGACCUGCGUUGUAUUAGCUAGUUGGUGGGGUAACGGCUCACCAAGGCGACGAUACAUAGCCGACCUGAGAGGGUGAUCGGCCACACUGGGACGGAGACACGGCCCAGACUCCUACGGGAGGCAGCAGUAGGGAAUCUGCGGCAAUGGACGGAAGUCUGACCGAGCAACGCCGCGUGAGUGAAGAAGGUUUUCGGAUCGUAAAGCUCUGUUGUAAGAGAAGAACGAGUGUGAGAGUGGAAAGUUCACACUGUGACGGUAUCUUACCAGAAAGGGACGGCUAACUACGUG